ACCUUACCAAGGCUUGACAUGUGCCGGUCGGCUCCGGAGACGGGUUCUCCUUGUGGGCGGUUCACAGUGGUGCAUGGUUGUCGUCAGCUCGUGUCGUGAGAUGUUGGGUUAAGUCCCGCAACGAGCGCAACCCUUGUCCCGUGUUGCCAGCACGUUGUGGUGGGGACUCGCGGGAGACUGCCGGGGUCAACUCGGAGGAAGGUGGGGAUGACGUCAAAUCAUCAUGCCCCUUAUGUCUUGGGCUUCACGCAUGCUACAAUGGCCGGUACAGAGGGCUGCGAUACCGUGAGGUGGAGCGAAUCCCUUAAAGCCGGUCUCAGUUCGGAUCGGUGUCUGCAACUCGACACCGUGAAGUUGGAGUCGCUAGUAAUCGCAGAUCAGCAACGCUGCGGUGAAUACGUUCUCGGGCCUUGUAACAC
rnacentral:rRNA from 1 species